UUCAUUGUGAAAACUAGCCUCUGUGUUCUGAUGCAAACAGGCAGAAGAUGCAGGCAGAAGAUCCGGCUGUGAUAUGUGAUCAAUGUUUAAAACGGUCAAAAAUCAAAUACUAGUAAAUAGUCAAGAACUCAAAUACAUUAACUGGAUGUUUUAUACCUUUCAGGUGUAUGAGAUCAGCUGGGUUCGAAGCUACAGAGACAGAGAGAGAGACGGAGGCGGAGGGAGACGGAGGUGGAGAGAGACAGAGGCGGAGGGAGACGGAGGCGGCGAGAGACGGAGACGGAGAGAGACAGAGGCGGAGAGAGACGGAGGCGGAGAGAUACGGACGCGGAGAGAGACGGAGGCGGAGAGAGACAGAGAGAGACGGAGGCGGAGAGAGACGGAGGCGGAGAGCGACGGAGCGAAUGGAGACGGAGGCAGAGAGCGACGGAUCGAAUGGAGACGGAGGCGGAGACCGACGGAUCGAAUGGAGGCGGAGAGCGACGGAUCGACGGAUUCAAUCGAGAUUUUUU
rnacentral:sRNA from 1 species